UCCGAGUUGUAAUUUGUAGAGGAUGUUUUGGGUACCGCCCCGGUUUAAACUUCUUGGAACAGAAUGUCAAAGAGGGUGAGAAUCCCGUCUUGGACCGGCGGUAGGGCCUGUGUAAAACUCCUUCGACGAGUCGAGUUGUUUGGGAAUGCAGCUCAAAAUGGGUGGUAAAUUUCAUCUAAAGCUAAAUAUUGGCCAGAGACCGAUAGCGCACAAGUAGAGUGAUCGAAAGAUGAAAAGAACUUUGAAAAGAGAGUUAAACAGUAUGUGAAAUUGUUGAAAGGGAAGCGCUUGCAACCAGACUUGAGCGCGACGGUUCCCCUAGCCUUUUGGCUAGGCUACUCCGUCGUGUCCAGGCCAACAUCGGUUCUGAGGGUCGGUCAAAGGCCCCGGGAAUGUACCUACCCACGGGUAGACUUAUAGACCGGGGUGUCAUGCGGCCUCUCGGGACCGAGGAACGCGCUUCGGCUCGGAUGUUGGCGUAAUGGUUGUCAGCGACCCGUCUUGAAACACGGACCAAGGAGUCUAACAUCUAUGCGAGUGUUUGGGUGUCAAACCCGGAACGCGGAAUGAAAGUGAACGGAGGUAGGAAGCUUCGGCUGCACUAUCGACCGAUCCUGAAGUUUACGGAUGGAUUUGAGUAAGAGCAUAGCUGUUGGGACCCGAAAGAUGGUGAACUAUGCCUGAAUAGGGUGAAGCCAGAGGAAACUCUGGUGGAGGCUCGCAGCGGUUCUGACGUGCAAAUCGAUCGUCAAAUUUGGGUAUAGGG
rnacentral:rRNA from 1 species